rnacentral:tRNA from 1 species
CGGGGUGUGGUGUAACGGCUAACAUGCUCGUUUUGGGUACGAGUGACUCCGGGUUCGAAUCCCGGCUCCCCGACAA